rnacentral:rRNA from 1 species
GACGAACGCUGGCGGCGUGAUUAACACAUGCAAGUCGAACGAAGUGGCGAACGGGUGAGUAACGCGUAAUCAACCUGCCCUUCAGAGGGGGACAACAGUUGGAAACGACUGCUAAUACCGCAUACUGAAGGCGGGGAUUGCGUCUGAUUGGAUAGUUGGCGGGGUAACGGCCCACCAAGGUGAGGAUAAGUAGCCGGUCUGAGAGGAUGAACGUCCACAUUGGGGCUGAGACACGGCCCAGACUCCUACGGGAGGCAGCAGUGGGAAAUCUUCCGCAAUGGACGAAAGUCUGACGGAGCAACGCCGCGUGAGUGAUGACGGCCUUCGGGUUGUAAAGCUCUGUUAAUCGGGACGCGGUACCGGAAUAGAAAGCCACGGCUAACUACGUGCCAGCCGCCGCGGUAAUUC